rnacentral:rRNA from 1 species
AAAUUGAAGAGUUUGAUCAUGGCUCAGAUUGAACGCUGGCGGCAGGCCUAACACAUGCAAGUCGAGCGGUAGCACAGAGAGCUUGCUCUCGGGUGACGAGCGGCGGACGGGUGAGUAAUGUCUGGGAAACUGCCUGAUGGAGGGGGAUAACUACUGGAAACGGUAGCUAAUACCGCAUAACGUCGCAAGACCAAAGUGGGGGACCUUCGGGCCUCAUGCCAUCAGAUGUGCCCAGAUGGGAUUAGCUAGUAGGUGGGGUAACGGCUCACCUAGGCGACGAUCCCUAGCUGGUCUGAGAGGAUGACCAGCCACACUGGAACUGAGACACGGUCCAGACUCCUACGGGAGGCAGCAGUGGGGAAUAUUGCACAAUGGGCGCAAGCCUGAUGCAGCCAUGCCGCGUGUGUGAAGAAGGCCUUCGGGUUGUAAAGCACUUUCAGCGGGGAGGAAGGCGAUAAGGUUAAUAACCUUGUCGAUUGACGUUACCCGCAGAAGAAGCACCGGCUAACUCCGUGCCAGCAGCCGCGGUAAUACGGAGGGUGCAAGCGUUAAUCGGAAUUACUGGGCGUAAAGCGCACGCAGGCGGUCUGUCAAGUCGGAUGUGAAAUCCCCGGGCUUAACCUGGGAACUGCAUUCGAAACUGGCAGGCUAGAGUCUUGUAGAGGGGGGUAGAAUUCCAGGUGUAGCGGUGAAAU